UACGGAGGGUGCAAGCGUUUAAUCGGAAUUACUGGGCGUAAAGCGUGCGUAGGCGGUUCGUUAAGUCUGUUGUGAAAGCCCCGGGCUCAACCUGGGAAUGGCAAUGGAUACUGGCGAGCUAGAGUGUGUCAGAGGAUGGUGGAAUUCCCGGUGUAGCGGUGAAAUGCGUAGAGAUCGGGAGGAACAUCAGUGGCGAAGGCGGCUAUCUGGACGGUUUCUGACGCUAAGACGCGAAAGCGUGGGGAGCAAACAGG
rnacentral:rRNA from 1 species